CCUACGGGAGGCAGCAGUGGGGAAUAUUGGGCAAUGGGCGCAAGCCUGACCCAGCAACGCCGCGUGAAGGAAGAAGGCUUUCGGGUUGUAAACUUCUUUUAAGAGGGAAGAGCAGUAGACGGUACCUCCUGAAUAAUCCACGGCUAACUACGUGCCAGCAGCCGCGGUAAUACGUAGGUGGCAAGCGUUGUACGGAUUGACUGGGUGUAAAGGGCGUGUAGCCGGGCUGACAAGUCAGAUGUGAAAUCCCGUGGCUCAACCACGGAACUGCAGUUGAAACUGUCGGUCUUGAGUAUCGGAGAGGCAGGCGGAACUCCUAGUGUAGCGGUGAAAUGCGUAGAUAUUAGGAAGAACACCAUUGGCGAAGGCGGCCUGCUGGACGACAACUGACGGUGAGGCGCGAAAGCGUGGGGAGCAAACAGGAUUAGAUACCCUGGUAGUC
rnacentral:rRNA from 1 species